AGAGUUUGAUCCUGGCUCAGGAUGAACGCUAGCUACAGGCUUAACACAUGCAAGUCGAGGGGCAGCAUGUUGUCAGCUUGCUGACAAUGAUGGCGACCGGCGCACGGGUGAGUAUCGCGUAUCCAACCUGCCCCAUACUUGGGAAUAGCCCUCCGAAAGGAGGAUUAAUGCCCGAUGUGGUCCAUUGAAGGCAUCUGAUUUGGAUUAAAGAUUUAUCGGUAUGGGAUGGGGAUGCGUCUGAUUAGGAAGUUGGCGGGGUAACGGCCCACCAAUCCAUCGAUCAGUAGGGGUUCUGAGAGGAAGGUCCCCCACAUUGGAACUGAGACACGGUCCAAACUCCUACGGGAGGCAGCAGUGAGGAAUAUUGGUCAAUGGCCGAGAGGCUGAACCAGCCAAGUAGCGUGCAGGACGACGGCCCUAUGGGUUGUAAACUGCUUUUAUGCGGGGAUAACGGACAUUACGUGUAGUGUUUUGCAGGUACCGCAUGAAUAAGGACCGGCUAAUUCCGUGCCAGCAGCCGCGGUAAUACGGAAGGUCCGGGCGUUAUCCGGAUUUAUUGGGUUUAAAGGGAGCGUAGGCCGCAUGCUAAGCGUGUCGUGAAAUGUCCUGGCUUAACCAGGGCCCUGCGGCGCGAACUGGCUUGCUUGAGUGCGCGGAACGUAUGCGGAAUUCGUGGUGUAGCGGUGAAAUGCUUAGAUAUCACGAAGAACUCCGAUUGCGAAGGCAGCAUACGGUAGCGUUACUGACGCUGAAGCUCGAAGGCGCGGGUAUCGAACAGGAUUAGAUACCCUGGUAGUCCGCGCGGUAAACGAUGGAUGCUCGCUGUUGGCGAUAUACAGUCAGCGGCUUAGCGAAAGCGUUAAGCAUCCCACCUGGGGAGUACGCCGGCAACGGUGAAACUCAAAGGAAUUGACGGGGGCCCGCACAAGCGGAGGAACAUGUGGUUUAAUUCGAUGAUACGCGAGGAACCUUACCCGGGCUUGAACUGCCGGCGAAUGAUUCAGAGAUGAAGAAGUCCUUCGGGACGCCGGUGGAGGUGCUGCAUGGUUGUCGUCAGCUCGUGCCGUGAGGUGUCGGCUUAAGUGCCAUAACGAGCGCAACCCCUGUUCUCAGUUGCCAUCGGUUAAAGCCGGGCACUCUGUGAAGACUGCCUCCGUAAGGAGUGAGGAGGGUGGGGAUGACGUCAAAUCAGCACGGCCCUUACGUCCGGGGCUACACACGUGUUACAAUGGGUGAUACAGAGAGUCGGGGUCCGGCAACGUACCUCUAAUCUUAAAAGUCAUCCUCAGUUCGGACUGGGGUCUGCAACCCGACCCCACGAAGCUGGAUUCGCUAGUAAUCGCGCAUCAGCCAUGGCGCGGUGAAUACGUUCCCGGGCCUUGUACACACCGCCCGUCAAGCCAUGAAAGCCGGGGGCGCCUGAAGUCCGUGACCGCGAGGGUCGGCCUAGGGUGAAACCGGUGAUUGGGGCUAAGUCGUAACAAGGUAGCC
rnacentral:rRNA from 1 species